rnacentral:rRNA from 1 species
AUGAACUCGUGGUUGCGGAGCUCGCGUCGUCUCCUGCCGGCAGCCGCCCGUCUUCUACGGCCUCCACAUCACAACAUCUCGCGGUUACAUGCUAUUGGAGGUCAGCUCUUCCGACGGCCGUCUACGGUUGUUCUCGUUCCUCGGGACUACUGCACCGCCCUGAGAAGGCAUGUGCCUGGCCACUUGGCUCCCUGCGGGUACUCCCACACUCCGCACAAGGUCGCGGCAGCUCUAACUUCUCGUUGCGGCACAAAGAUCACCGUCAACCGUGGAUUCCACGUCCAUGUCGAUACUGUGCCCUACAUCAACCGCAGACACGUGGUCCUUGGUUCUCGCCGUGAAGCAGGUGAGUGGGGCGAAGACUACUUCGCGGAGUUCAAAGCGGAGCAUGCCUCCAAGAUCGUCGACCCUCUAAACCGUGACUGCGUCCGCGUCCGCGAAAUUGGCUUGAAGAUCAUUCACGCCAUCCAUAGUAGCAGCAACAGGAUAGCACGAGGAGGACUGUCACAUUCACAGAUAAUAAAGAGUAUGGAAUGGGUGGACGAGCUUAAUUGGGAGAUGAUAGUCGUCGAAGAUGAGGACAUCCAUAGAGGAUCAAGCCACGGCGGUGGAAAGAUUGUAGUCUCCACUGGGUUCCUCAAAGAGUUCAGCACGGAUACAGAGAUUGCCGUUAUGCUCGGGCAUGAGGUUGCACAUGUUGUUGCAAGGCACACGGUAGAGUUGAUCAGGAUAUUCAUGGCGUUCAACCAGUUUCCGACCCACCUUCUCGCCGCGCCGUUCUUACGAAGGAAUGAGAGAGAGGCGGAUUACAUUGGAAUGUUGCUACUCGCUGCUGCUGGUUUCGAUCCCCAUGCUGCCCCUCUGUUCUAUGAAAAGCUUGGCAAGAUAGCUGGAGAGACGGCAUUGCUACGUACGCUCACUUUCUUCUCAUGCAAAGUCCACCCAUCCUUUAAGGAAAGGUCAUGGCUUUUAUCGCAACCCAAGGUCAUGGAGGAGGCGAUGGAAUUUUAUAGGGAAGCAAUCAGUGACGAUGGCCAAGGUUAUGACAAGGACGAUUUAGGUAGUUCCCCUUGA